rnacentral:rRNA from 1 species
UACGAAGGGUGCAAGCGUUACUCGGAAUUACUGGGCGUAAAGCGUGCGUAGGUGGUUUGUUAAGUCUGAUGUGAAAGCCCUGGGCUCAACCUGGGAACGGCAUUGGAAACUGGCUUACUAGAGUGCGGUAGAGGGGUGUGGAAUUCCCGGUGUAGCAGUGAAAUGCGUAGAUAUGGGGAGGAACAUCUGUGGCGAAGGCGACACCCUGGACCAGCACUGACACUGAGGCACGAAAGCGUGGGGAGCAAACAGG